GAUGAACGCUAGCUACAGGCUUAACACAUGCAAGUCGAGGGGCAGCAUGGUCUUAGCUUGCUAAGGCCGAUGGCGACCGGCGCACGGGUGAGUAACACGUAUCCAACCAGCCGUCUACUCUUGGACAGCCUUCUGAAAGGAAGAUUAAUACAAGAUGGCAUCAUGAGUCCGCAUGUUCACAUGAUUAAAGGUAUUCCGGUAGACGAUGGGGAUGCGUUCCAUUAGAUAGUAGGCGGGGUAACGGCCCACCUAGUCUUCGAUGGAUAGGGGUUCUGAGAGGAAGGUCCCCCACAUUGGAACUGAGACACGGUCCAAACUCCUACGGGAGGCAGCAGUGAGGAAUAUUGGUCAAUGGGCGCAGGCCUGAACCAGCCAAGUAGCGUGAAGGAUGACUGCCCUAUGGGCUGUAAACUUCUUUUAUAAAGGAAUAAAGUCGGGUAUGUAUACCCGUUUGCAUGUACUUUAUGAAUAAGGAUCGGCUAACUCCGUGCCAGCAGCCGCGGUAAUACGGAGGAUCCGAGCGUUAUCCGGAUUUAUUGGGUUUAAAGGGAGCGUAGAUGGAUGUUUAAGUCAGUUGUGAAAGUUUGCGGCUCAACCGUAAAAUUGCAGUUGAUACUGGAUAUCUUGAGUGCAGUUGAGGCAGGCGGAAUUCGUGGUGUAGCGGUGAAAUGCUUAGAUAUCACGAAGAACUCCGAUUGCGAAGGCAGCCUGCUAAGCUGCAACUGACAUUGAGGCUCGAAAGUGUGGGUAUCAAACAGGAUUAGAUACCCUGGUAGUCCAUCACGGUAAACGAUGAAUACUCGCGGUUUGCGAUAAUACAGCAAGCGGCCAAGCGAAAGCGUUAAGUAUUCCACCUGGGGAGUACGCCGGCAACGGUGAAACUCAAAGGAAAUGACGGGGGCCCGCACAAGCGGAGGAACAUGUGGUUUAAUUUGAUGAUACGCGAGGAACCUUACCCGGGCGUAAAUUGCAGAUGAAUUACGGUGAAAGCCGUAAGCCGCAAGGCAUCUGUGAAGGUGCUGCAUGGUUGUCGUCAGCUCGUGCCGUGAGGUGUCGGCUUAAGUGCCAUAACGAGCGCAACCCUCGUUGUCAGUUACUAACAGGUUCCGCUGAGGACUCUGACAAGACUGCCAUCGUAAGAUGUGAGGAAGGUGGGGAGGACGUCAAAUCAGCACGGCCCUUACGUCCGGGGGUACACACGUGUUACAAUGGGGGGUACAGAGGGCCGCUACCACGCGAGUGGAUGCCAAUCCCAAAAACCUCUCUCAGUUCGGACUGGAGUCUGCAACCCGACUCCACGAAGCUGGAUUCGCUAGUAAUCGCGCAUCAGCCACGGCGCGGUGAAUA
rnacentral:rRNA from 1 species